rnacentral:tRNA from 1 species
CGGGGCGUAGCGCAGCCUGGUAGCGCAUCUGCUUUGGGAGCAGAGGGUCGCGAGUUCGAACCCCGCCGCCCCGACCA